GUUCCAAUCGAUCAACAUAAUCGCGCAACGAUCUAUUCCUAAAUCUGUUUCUCUAUUCUUAGAUAUGUUCUCUCCCUUGUGAUGUGUUUGAUUUUCAACCUCUAACGAUUUUUUAUCGUUCUAAGCGAGAUCUGCUGGAUUCGAUUUUUUAAGCGAGAUCUGUAUCUCUCUCUCUGUGUCCGGCUCUGUCAAUUUCAGAUCCUUGCAGGUUGAAGCAAAACACCUCAAGACAAGCAUCAUGUGCAUAUAUUUUCAAAUAACCUGCAGAUUGAACCAAAUCACCUCACCUAGAGGUUCUGCAGUUUUGGGCAUUGCUAAGAAGCUUGACAAGAUGAAUCAAACAUGUCCAAACCCUCCUAACUCGUCUUCUGAUACGAUUGCAUUCGUUGGAAAAGUAGAAAUUUAAUGAUGAUUUUGUUCCAUGUUGUACGUACCACAAAGUACUUACUCAACUUGUAUGCAUAUUUUAUAAGUUUGUAACAUAAGAAAAUUCCAUGUAACACUAUUGAUAGUUAUAUUUGGUGCUUUAAUUGUUAAAGUGAUUGCUAUUAUUAUACAACAAGUGACUCAAUA